rnacentral:rRNA from 1 species
AGCUUGCUCUUUCCGGAAUUGAGUGGCAAACGGGUGAGUAACACGUAAACAACCUGCCUUCAGGAUGGGGACAACAGACGGAAACGACUGCUAAUACCGAAUAAGUUCCAAGAGCCGCAUGGCCCAUGGAAGAAAAGGUGGCCUCUACCUGUAAGCUAUCGCCUGAAGAGGGGUUUGCGUCUGAUUAGGUAGUUGGUGAGGUAACGGCCCACCAAGCCGACGAUCGGUAGUCGACCUGAGAGGGUGAUCGGCCACACUGGAACUGAGAUACGGCCCAGACUCC